UACGGGGGGGGCAAGCGUUGUUCGGAAUUACUGGGCGUAAAGGGCUCGUAGGCGGCCAACUAAGUCGGACGUGAAAUCCCCAGGCUCAACCUGGGAACUGCGUCUGAUACUGGGAGGCUAGAGUGCGGGAGAGGGAUGCGGAAUUCCAGGUGUAGCGGUGAAAUGCGUAGAUAUCUGGAGGAACACCGGUGGCGAAGGCGGCAUCCUGGACCGACACUGACGCUGAGGCGCGAAAGCUAGGGUAGCAAACGGG
rnacentral:rRNA from 1 species